GCCAGGCAUAGUGGUGGGUGCCUGUAAUCCCAGCUACUCGGGAGCUGAGGCAGGAGAAUCGCUUAAACCUGGGAGGCAGAGGUUGCAAUGAGCUGCACUCCAGCCUGAGUGACAGAGCGAGACUCUGUAUCAAAUAAAUAAAUAAAUAAAAGACAGGGUCCUGAUCUAUCACUCAGGCUGGAGUGCAGUAGCAUGAUUAUUAUAGCUCACUGCAACCUCAAAUUCCUGGCCUCAAGGGGUCCUCCUGCCUCA
ensembl:misc_RNA Metazoa_SRP Metazoan signal recognition particle RNA